AUUCUACAGCGGAUGAUGUCGGACUCGGCUGAAGCGAGUGGCUGUUUUAUGAAAUGGACAUAUUCCCAUCUCUUCACUUUUCUGAAACAAGCAGACAAGAACAUUACAGUAAUAUGCAAGCUAUGUCCUGGGGAGAAAAAACUAUCGGCCGGUGUUAAUAGCGAGAGCAUAGACGAACACUUCUGAGUGAUCCUUGUUCAUCAUCCAUGGAUAACACCGCAGCAACUCCUGCUAAGCAGCAAAACUUGAUUUUAGUUCAGCAGCACAGAAAGCGUCUGAAGACAGCCCUGCUAAUAAGGAGGAACUACACCAGGAGCAAACAAGACUGGGGCAACAGAAAGAACCACUCAUACAAGACGUUCCCACAAGGUGGAAUUCAACGCUGGAUAUGGUUUCUCAUCUACAAAAGGAUCAAGAGGCUGUUUUUGCUGCUUUAGACAUCCAAAAGAACAAGCUGGUUUGUGUGCUUCUUGGAGGUGAGACAUAUGUCUCAUGUUCAGUGGUUGAACCUGCUUUCUGCCACCUGGUCUCCGAUGACUUAAACUACAAUGUGAAAUUUAAGACCUAUCCCAACGUGCAGCUACACUCAGCCAUCAGUGGCUCAAGAUAGCUACUGUGCUUGACCCACGCUUUAAGGAUUUAAAGUGUCUUGCAAGGGGAGAGCGAGAAGAGGUUU
ensembl:lncRNA